rnacentral:rRNA from 1 species
CCUACGGGAGGCAGCAGUAGGGAAUUUUGCGCAAUGGGCGAAAGCCUGACGCAGCAACACCGCGUGAAUGUUAAGCCCUUCGGGGUGUAAAGUUCUGUCAAUAGGGACGAAUUUUGACUGUACCUAUAAAGGAAGCACCGGCUAACUCCGUGCCAGCAGCCGCGGUAAUACGGGGGGUGCAAGCGUUGUCCGGAAUCAUUGGGCGUAAAGCGUUCGUAGGCGGCAAGGUAAGUCUGAUGUUAAAGCCCGGGGCUCAACUCCGGUUCGGCAUUGGAUACUAUCUAGCUAGAAUGUGGUAGAGGUAAAGGGAAUUCCUGGUGUAGCGGUGAAAUGCUUAGAUAUUACUCAGAACACCGAUUGCGCAGGCAGCUUGCUAAUCCGCAUCUGACGCUGAUGCACGAAAGCGUGGGUAGCGAACAGGAUUAGAUACCCUAGUAGUC